rnacentral:rRNA from 1 species
CAGCAGCCAGGGAAUACGUAGGGUGCAAGCGUUAAUCGGAAUUACUGGGCGUAAAGCGUGCGCAGGCGGUUAUAUAAGACAGAUGUGAAAUCCCCGGGCUCAACCUGGGAACUGCAUUUGUGACUGUAUAGCUAGAGUACGGCAGAGGGGGAUGGAAUUCCGCGUGUAGCAGUGAAAUGCGUAGAUAUGCGGAGGAACACCGAUGGCGAAGGCAAUCCCCUGGGCCUGUACUGACGCUCAUGCACGAAAGCGUGGGGAGCAAACAGGAUUAGAUACCCGAGUAGUCCCUGUCUCUUAUACA